rnacentral:misc_RNA from 1 species
UCUAGAGGAAAAAAGAAAGCCGCACCACCAAGCAACCAUCUCACAGAGUAGUAUCGCCCCCACCUGCACACUGCGUCUGCCUGCCGUCUUUCACCCCUGCCCAUACAUACACAUCUACCGAAGAACGCGACACACACACACACAUAAAUACAAAGGACUCUUCUCCGAGAAUGCUGCGCCGCACCUUUACGCGUCUUGCCCUUAGCCGCGCCUACCCGGUCAUCGACCACACGUACGACUGCGUCGUCGUGGGCGCCGGUGGCUCUGGUCUCCGCGCGGCCAUGGGUGUGGCGGCCUCUGGCUACGAUGUGGCGUGCAUCUCGAAGCUGUACCCGUCUCGCUCGCACACGAUAGCGGCACAGGGUGGCAUUAACGCUGCUCUCGCCAACUGCGAGGAGGAUGACUGGCGCUGGCAUGUGUACGACACAGUAAAAGGCUCGGACUGGCUCGGUGACCAGGAUGCAAUCCAGUACAUGUGCCAGGAGGCCCCGUGCGUUGUGUCGGAGCUGGAAAGCAUGGGUCUGCCCUUCCUGCGCACAAAGGACGGCUUCAUCUACCAGCGCGCCUUUGGUGGUCAGUCGAUCCACUACGGUGGCAAGCAGGCGCGCCGUACCUGUGCGGCGUCGGACCGCACGGGCCACGCCAUGCUUCACACCCUGUACGGCCAGUCCUUCCAAUACGGCGUGAACUUCUACAACGAAUACUACUGCCUUGAUCUAAUCAUGGAGGAUGGCUGCUGCCGCGGUGUGAUGGCCAUGAGCAUCGACGAUGGUACGAUCCACCGCUUCAAAUCGAAGUACACAGUGCUCUGCACGGGUGGCUACGGCCGCGUGUACUUCACGACGACAAGCGCGAAGAGCUGCACGGGCGACGGCACGGCCAUGGUGGCGCGCGCCGGCCUGCCGGCGGAGGACAUGGAGUUUGUGCAAUUCCAUCCCACCGGUAUCUACGGCCCUGGCGUGCUCAUCACUGAGGGCGCGCGCGGCGAGGGUGGCUACCUUGUGAACAGCGAGGGUGAGCGCUUCAUGGAGCGCUACGCCCCCAAGGCGAAGGAUCUGGCGUCGCGCGAUGUCGUGUCCCGGGCCAUUACGAUGGAGAUUCUGGCGGGGCGCGGCUGCGGCCCCAAGAAGGACCACGUGAUGCUGCAGCUACACCACCUCGACCCUGCCACUCUGCAUAAGAAGCUGCCGGGCAUCUCAGAGAGCGCUCACAUCUUCGCCGGCGUUGACGUGACCAAGGAGCCGAUUCCGAUUGUGCCAACGGUGCACUACUCAAUGGGCGGCGUGCCGACACUGUGGACGGGCGAGGUGAUUAGCCCGCGCAACGGUGACGACAACGCGAUCGUGCCCGGCCUGCUCGCAGCUGGUGAGUGCGCCUGCGCUAGCGUGCACGGCGCCAACCGCCUCGGCGCGAACUCGCUGCUGGACAUUGUCGUGUUCGGCAAGUCGUGCGCCAACACGGUCAUCUUUAAUCUGACGAAGGAGGGCCGCAAGCAGCCCGAGCUGCGCGCCGACGCCGGCGAGGCCUCGAUCGCCGAUCUGGACCGCAUCCUCAAUAACAAGGGCGACAUUCCCAUCGCCCGUAUCCGUGAGCGUAUGAAGGAGACGAUGGCACUCUACGCCGCCGUAUUCCGCACAGAGGAGAGCAUGCAAACAGGAAAAAAGAUAAUCGAGGAGUGCUACCGAGACUUCUCUCACGCCUUCGUGCACGACAAAUCACCGGUGUGGAACAGCAACCUCAUUGAGGCGCUCGAGCUGCGUAACCUGCUGACGAACGCCAUGAUGACGAUUAGCGGCGCUGUGGUGCGCAAGGAGAGCCGCGGUGCCCACGCACGUGACGACUACCAAGAGCGUGACGACCACAACUGGAUGAAGCACACCCUCGCAUACCUGGACGACGCCAAGGGCAAGGUGCGCCUUGCGUACCGCCCGGUGCACAUGGAGAUGCUGACGAAUGAGGUGGAGAGCAUCCCGCCGGCGAAGCGAGUGUACUAGUUUUGUACCUUCGUGUGCCCAACAUCCCGGCUGUUGGUGACACACAAGCGGCAGAGGAGCGGGUGUCAUUCACGACGCUCCUUUUUCUUGUUGGCUCACCUGCAAAGCGCGCCGACCCUCACGGACACACGCGGGCCCGGUCACGUGCACGCGCGCAUACGCGCGAGCUGCCAACGUAUAGCUAGCUAGUUGCUUUCUCUUUUCUGUUUAAACGGCCUACGACUUUUGUGUUACCCUGUGGGAUGUAUGCCAACGUGAUGCUCUCGAUUCUUUGUCCACACCCUAGCAACUGUG